CCAGAGCAAGCACUGGUCAUCUCCUUGAGGGAAGACAGCUGAAACUGAAAACACUGAAAAGACAUCUCCAGCAGUGUUUCUCUGACAGCCACUUUCACUUCAAGAUGGGAAUUGUGACACUGUGGCCACCUCUCCAAAGAUGAAAGUCUCUGUGAGUAGAGAAAGAGCGUAUCAAUUUUUUUAACAUGGUUACUCUCUUCCAUGUAGGCUGCUGCAUUUUAUUUUAACUUUUGAAACAACACAAUGUGCACAUACAGGUGCUGAUC